rfam:Picea glauca, whole genome shotgun sequence.
ACAUGCCUACAACAUAGCGUUAAUGCACUGGAUCCCAUUAGAACUUCGCAGUUAAGCGCACUCAGGCUAGAGUAGUACUGGGAUGGGUGAUUGCACGGGAAGUCCUAUUGUUUUACAUGCC